rnacentral:SRP_RNA from 1 species
GCUUGCUGCCCACACCAGUUCCAACUAUUUGGGAAGCUGAGGCAGGAAUAUCACUUGAGUCCAGGAGUUCUGGGCUGUUGUGCACUGUGACCAUCGUGUCCACAGUGAGUUUGGCAUCACUAUGGUGACUUCCCGAGAGUAGGGGACUACCAGGUUGCUUAAGGAGGGGUGACCCAGCCCAGGUCAGAAAUGGAGGAGGUCAAAACUCAUGCUAAUCAGUAGUGAGAUUGUGCUGUGAAAGGUUACUGCACUCCAGCCUGAGCAACAUGGUGAGACUCUGUCUCU